GAUGAACGCUGGCGGCGUGCCUAAUACAUGCAAGUCGAGCGAACAGACGAGGAGCUUGCUCCUUUGACGUUAGCGGCGGACGGGUGAGUAACACGUAGGUAACCUACCUAUAAGACUGGGAUAACUUCGGGAAACCGGAGCUAAUACCGGAUAAUAUUUCGAACCGCAUGGUUCGAUAGUGAAAGAUGGCUUUGCUAUCACUUAUAGAUGUACCUGCGCCGUAUUAGCUAGUUGGUAAGGUAACGGCUUACCAAGGCAACGAUACGUAGCCGACCUGAGAGGGUGAUCGGCCACACUGGAACUGAGACACGGUCCAGACUCCUACGGGAGGCAGCAGUAGGGACUCUUCCGCAAUGGGCGAAAGCCUGACGGAGCAACGCCGCGUGAGUGAUGAAGGUCUUCGGAUCGUAAAACUCUGUUAUUAGGGAAGACCAGACGUGUAAGUAACUGUGCACGUCUUGACGGUACCUAAUCAGAAAGCCACGGCUAACUACGUG
rnacentral:rRNA from 1 species